AGAAAGGUCAAGCUAGUUUUCCACAUUUUAUAUGUGUGUCAUUCUCAAUAUAGCAACAGAAUCUCAUAUAGAAAACAAUGGAGCCCAGGCGCGGAGCUGCUAAUGAGCAUGCUGGAGAGAGUGUCCAGCCCAGCUCUGGCUAGAGACAAUCCACCUGUCUGCUCUCCAGUGCAGGACAGCUGAUGGGACAAGAGUACUACUUAGAGAGAAGAUGAUGAUGAAAGUCACCUUGUCUGUGCUCUUCUAAUGGUCACCUGUGAGGCUUGGAUGCAUCCUACCUAACUAUAAUGGGAUACCUAACCUAGGAACACUAGCCUGCUGUCUCCCCUACAAGGCAAUGUGCACCCUCUGGAUGCUGCUGUGCAUACAACUGCAGAAUUCUAUAUUCAAGAAGUGCUAGACAGAGGCUUUCAGCUACAGCUCUGAAGAUAAUCUUAACAACAACAAACCCAGAAAGGUUUGUACAAAACCA